AACAGGAUUAGAUACCCUGGUAGUCCACGCCGUAAAACGAUGAAUACUAGGUGCAGGGGUUGUCAUGACCUUCUGUGCCGCCGCAAACGCAUUAAGUAUUCCGCCUGGGGAGUACGGGUCGCAAGAUUAAAACUCAAAGGAAUUGACGGGGGCCCGCACAAGCAGCGGAGCAUGUGGUUUAAUUCGAAGCAACGCGAAGAACCUUACCUAGACUUGACAUCUCCUGAAUUACUCUUAAUCGAGGAAGUCCCUUCGGGGACAGGAAGACAGGUGGUGCAUGGUUGUCGUCAGCUCGUGUCGUGAGAUGUUGGGUUAAGUCCCGCAACGAGCGCAACCCUUAUUGUUAGUUGCUACCAUUAAGUUGAGCACUCUAGCAAGACUGCCCGGGUUAACCGGGAGGAAGGUGGGGAUGACGUCAAAUCAUCAUGCCCCUUAUGUCUAGGGCUACACACGUGCUACAAUGGCAAGUACAAAAAGAUGCAAUACCGCAAGGUGGAGCUAAACUUAAAAACUUGUCUCAGUUCGGAUUGUAGGCUAAAACUCGCCUACAUGAAGCUGGAGUUGCUAGUAAUCGCGAAUCAGAAUGUCGCGGUGAAUACGUUCCCGGGCCUUGUACACACCGCCCGUCACACCAUGAGAGUUGGCAAUACCCAAAGUUCGUGAGCUAACCCGUAAGGGAGGCAGCGACCUAAGGUAGGGUCAGCGAUUGGGGUGAAGUUGUAACAACGUAACCAA
rnacentral:rRNA from 1 species